rnacentral:rRNA from 1 species
AUUGAACGCUGGCGGCAUGCCUAACACAUGCAAGUCGAACGCGAAAGAGGGGCAACUCUCGAGUAGAGUGGCGGACGGGUGAGUAAUACGUAGGAAUCUGCCCUAGAGUGGGGGAUAACCUGUCGAAAGACGGGCUAAUACCGCAUAUACUCUGAGGAGCAAAGGUGGCUAGCAAUAGCCUUCGCUUUAGGAUGAGCCUACGUCGGAUUAGCUAGUUGGUAGGGUAAUGGCCUACCAAGGCAACAAUCCGUAGCUGGUCUGAGAGGACGAUCAGCCACACUGGAACUGAGACACGGUCCAGACUCCUACGGGAGGCAGCAGUGGGGAAUAUUGGACAAUGGGGGAAACCCUGAUCCAGCAAUGCCGCGUGUGCGAUGAGGGCCUGCGGGUUGUAAAGCACUUUCGUUGGGGAAGAAAUGCUCAAAGAUAAUACAUUUGAGAGCUGACGUUACCCAAAGAAGAAGCACCGGCAAACUCUGUGCCAGCCGCCGCCGUAA